CGGGAUUAAUACCUCAUAAAACUCUAGUAUGGCAUCAUAUAGGAGUCAAAGAUUUAUCGGUAUAGGAUGGGCCCGCGUCUGAUUAGCUAGUUGGUAAGGUAACGGCUUACCAAGGCAACGAUCAGUAGCCGACCUGAGAGGGUGAUCGGCCACAUUGGAACUGAGACACGGUCCAAACUCCUACGGGAGGCAGCAGUGGGGAAUAUUGCACAAUGGGCGCAAGCCUGAUGCAGCAACGCCGCGUGAGUGAUGAAGGCCUUCGGGUCGUAAAACUCUGUCCUAAGGGAAGAAUAAUGACGGUACCUUAGGAGGAAGCCCCGGCUAACUACGUGCCAGCAGCCGCGGUAAUACGUAGGGGGCGAGCGUUAUCCGGAAUCACUGGGCGUAAAGGGUGCGUAGGCGGUCAGUAAAGUCUGGGGUGAAAGGCUACGGCUUAACCGUAGUAAGCCUUGGAAACUUACUGACUUGAGUGCAGGAGAGGAGAGCGGAAUUCCUAGUGUAGCGGUGAAAUGCGUAGAUAUUAGGAGGAACACCAGUGGCGAAGGCGGCUCUCUGGACUGUAACUGACGCUGAGGCACGAAAGCGUGGGUAGCGAACAGGAUUAGAUACCCUGGUAGUCCACGCCGUAAACGAUGAGUGCUAGGUGUCGGGGGUUACCCCCCUCGGUGCCGCAGUUAACGCAAUAAGCACUCCGCCUGGGGAGUACGGUCGCAAGACUGAAACUCAAAGGAAUUGACGGGGACCCGCACAAGCAGCGGAGCAUGUGGUUUAAUUCGAAGCAACGCGAAGAACCUUACCAGGACUUGACAUCCUCUGCAUUACCCUUAAUCGGGGAAAUCCCUUCGGGGACAGAGAGACAGGUGGUGCAUGGUUGUCGUCAGCUCGUGUCGUGAGAUGUUGGGUUAAGUCCCGCAACGAGCGCAACCCUUGUCUUUAGUUGCCAGCAC
rnacentral:rRNA from 1 species